rnacentral:rRNA from 1 species
UACGUAGGGCGCGAGCGUUGUCCGGAUUUAUUGGGCGUAAAGAGCUCGUAGGCGGCCAGUUGCGUCUGCUGUGAAAUCCCGGGGCUCAACCCCGGGCGUGCAGUGGAUACGGGCUGGCUAGAGGCAGGCAGGGGAGAACGGAAUUCCCGGUGUAGCGGUGAAAUGCGCAGAUAUCGGGAGGAACACCGGUGGCGAAGGCGGUUCUCUGGGCCUGUACUGACGCUGAGGAGCGAAAGCGUGGGGAGCGAACAGG